rnacentral:rRNA from 1 species
GACGAACGCUGGCGGCGUGCUUAACACAUGCAAGUCGAACGGAAAGGCCCUGCUUUUGUGGGGUUCUUGAUUGGCGAACGGGUGAGUAACACGUGUGUAACCUGCCCUUGACUUUCGGAUAACUUCAGGAAACUGGGGCUAAUAUCGGAUAGGAGCUCCUGCUGCAUGGUGGGGGUUGGAAAGUUUCGGCGGUUGGGGAUGGACUGGCGGCUUAUGCGCUUGUUGGUGGGGUAGUGGCUUACCAAGCGUUUGACGGGUAGGCGGCAUGAGAGGGGGGACAGGCACAAUAGGACUGAGGGAGGGACCAGAAUGGAAUGGUAGGCAACGGGUGGGAAUAUUACACAGAUAGCCGGAGUCUGAGACGAAGACCUCCGGAUCGGAAAGACCGGCUUUGGGGUAAGAACCGCUGUCGCCUGAGACGAAGCGUGAGUGACGGUAAUGGAUAAAGAAGCACCGGCUAACUACGUG